rnacentral:lncRNA from 1 species
CCCUGAUUGAUAUUGUCCUGAAGAAGGUUUUGAGGAAGGACAUUAUGGUAAAUUCCUUUUAUUGUUAUGGGUGAAGUUACAGUACCUCAUACAUCACAAAAUUGUGGUACAAUUCAACUGAUUUUCAAACCAGAUAUCUUUUUUGAUUUUUAGUUUAAUUCUUUCUAGGGCCUUCACAAAAUUAAGUAUUGGAACACUUGUUGGUAUAGGAUUUCCCCAGAAUACGUCCCUUGACAUGCAAUUCUCUUUUUGGAGGUUUUUUCGAGCUUGACAUUGUUAUUCACUGAGACAGUGAGUUGAGGUAUUAAUUAAUGGCUAGUUUUGCUGCAGUGGUUCAGCAUGACUUUCUAAAAGGUGCAAGGUAAUUGAUUGUCUUUUCCCCUGCAGUUGAUUUUGCUUCCAAAUGACAAAUCAUACUGUUUGCUGGACGGUCUGUUAAUUGGUCAUGUGAUGAUGGUGGUGGUGAUGACAGAUGAUAAUGUAGUGCCUCACUGUCUAAUAGGAUUCCACCUUUUAAUAUCUAGAGUUGUUUAUUCCUCAGUUACAGGUGGGUGAAAAUAAAAAUGGACUCAUUGGUAGGUAUCCCAUGACUUUGGCUGAGUUCAGAGGCAAAGUGAAAAAGCCACUCUGGACUGAGAAACCACCUGAGUAAUCAAGAUGAGGCCCCAAUCCACUUGUCAUACUGUGUCAGUUAGAGAUUCUUUUUCUUUUAUUUUUUCUUUCCUUUUUGAGAUGGAGUCUCACUCUGUCACCCAGGCUGGAGUACGGUGGCACAAUCUCGGCUCACUGCAACCCCGCCUACCG